CUCUAUAUCUUUCAACAGAUGAUUGGUCUGACAAAGUCAACCUUUGGCACGGCUUUUGUUCAAUGUCUGGACAUCAACACUCGGAUGAAAUAUAUACCAGCAUGGGAGUUUGUCCAUAGCAUGACCUACUAUGGGAAACCCUGACUGGAAGGGAGCAUCUGCUUUUUUAGGGAAGACUUGAGAACCUCAAAGGUUCUGGAUUAAGACAAGCAGUGGAAGAAUCUUUGAAAAGUGUCAAUCUGUUUCAUGGUGGGGUUGCAGACAAAAGAGCUGGAAAGUAUAGUGGAGGUAUGAAGAGAAGGCUUAGCGUCG